GAUGAACGCUAGCGGCAGGCUUAAUACAUGCAAGUCGAGGGGCAGCAUGACUGUAGCAAUACAGUUGAUGGCGACCGGCAAACGGGUGCGGAACACGUACAGAACCUUCCUUCGAGCGGGGAAUAGCCCAGAGAAAUUUGGAUUAAUACCCCAUAGUACAACGGAGUGGCAUCACUUUGUUGUUAAAGAUUUAUCACUUGAAGAUGGCUGUGCGGCUGAUUAGGCAGUUGGCGGGGUAACGGCCCACCAAGCCUGCGAUCAGUAACUGGUGUGAGAGCACGACCAGUCACACGGGCACUGAGACACGGGCCCGACUCCUACGGGAGGCAGCAGUAAGGAAUAUUGGUCAAUGGACGAAAGUCUGAACCAGCCAUGCCGCGUGGAGGAUGAAGGGUCCUCUGGAUUGUAAACUUCUGUUAUAUGGACGAAAAAGGGUUUCUAACUCGUCUGACGGUACCAUAUGAAUAAGCACCGGCUAAACUCCGUGCCAGCAGCCG
rnacentral:rRNA from 1 species